rnacentral:misc_RNA from 1 species
AUUAAUAUAACUCAUGUAGAGACGAUUUUGACACACUAUACGGCAUGGAGUUAAAUUAAUGAAUGGAAGCCUCUUUGUUAUCAAUAUUCCUCUCUCUUGCAAUUAACUCCCAUUUAAACAAUCAAUUAGCUUCAUUUUUCAAAUUUUCUGCAAAAUUGUUCACACAUUUGUAAUUUAGUCGAGAAAAAUAGUAAUCAUAUUAAUCUUGUCUUUGUUUCCAUGGUCCUUUAAAAUACAGCUGCAAUUUUAUCGGCACUUAUUUUACCAGCACUUACAACAAAACAAUAUCCACGGAAACAUGUGAUAGCUGAAAACGCAAGUUUUUAAAACGGCCCAAAAACAUGGAGAACAAAGUGUCCAUGCCUCGUUUUAAAAACUUGAAUUGUCAGCAAUCUUCACCUUUUAGAAAAGGCAGGGGUGAAAACAAAAAAGUCAGCGUAAGAUAAGGAGGGCUGUAGAUCUAUGCAUCAACCUAAGUGUGAAGAAGAUAGCUGCAAUCGAGUAGCCUACGGAACGGCCGGAAGGAUAUAAUGGAAAAACAGUAAUAGACACGGAAAAUCUCGAGUAUCACGACUUCCCGAAGAAAUCCAGCAUGAAAAAGCGGUUUACCGAGAUGAAUUUCUUGAGCCAGAACCCCUCGUUAGAGUCUCAAGACUGCAGCGGUCAGUACGAGCACUUCGGCCUCUGCAUGGCCAAGAAGAUCAAAGACAUGCCCUCGGAGCAGAGGAUCUUCGCCGAAAAGAUCAUUUCCGAGGUGGUCUUCUACGGUCAACUCGGUCAACUGACAAAGAAGUCGGCGCAACAAUUCUCCACGCUGGUGAUGAAGAACGCUGAGGAUACGGAAAAUUCCCAGACGAAACCCACCGGAUCGACCAUGGCCCGCGAGACUGAUUUCGAAUUUCCACAGACUUACGUUCUGUCUCUCCCGAGCGAUUUGAAACCACCCGCCAGGGAUUGCCCCGUUCACGAUAGUCACAUACAAAUCGUGAGGAAAUGCGCCUGUAAAAAUAAGAAAGGAACGUGUUGCGGCAAAAAAUAAAGGAUGUAUUCAACAAAAAAUA